rnacentral:lncRNA from 1 species
AUACAGUUGUGGUGAGCGCAGCGGCAAGACGUUCAGAGUGUCGCAUUUUAAAGCGGUGAAUGGAACAGCUUAAGCGAAUGGCACGACUGUGCGUUGGUCCUCGACUACAAAGAGUUCUUAUGUAACCACUCAUCGUCUAUCGUGACGGAUCUACUGCACAAGCACAGGCCUGUGGAGGAUUCCCAAACAGAUCAAUGUCAAAUCCAGUGGAGCAUAUCCGUAACAGAAGUGUGGAAGCUCUAUUAAUUUAAUACCAACACCUUCUUGAUUUCUGUUUCACGAAUGUGAAACGCGAGACCAAACAUCACUUAACCACAAUAGUAAAUCAGCUAAGAGGCUGUUCCUCGGUGGUGUGGAGUGAUUUACAUCCAGAUGAUGCUGGCUUUAAAACUACUGUCAAUGACUGAGUAAAACAACCAUGCCUUCCAUUUGUUCAGUGU